UCUCCUGUCUGGUGGUGGUGGUUAUACUGCCUUCCAGCUAGGUCUGGUCUUCUGUCUGGUGGUGGUGGGUAAGCUGCCUUCCAGCUAGGUCUGGUCUCCUGUCUGGUGGUGGUGGUUAUACUGCCUUCCAGCUAGGUCUGGUCUCCUGUCUGGUGGUGGUGGUUAUGCUGCCUUCCAGCUAGGUCUGGUCUCCUGUCUGGUGGUGGUGGUUAUACUGCCUUCCAGCUAGGUCUGGUCUCCUGUCUGGUGGUGGUGGUUAUGCUGCCUUCCAGCUAGGUCUGGUCUCCUGUCUGGUGGUGGUGGUUAUGCUGCCUUCCAGCUAGGUCUGGUCUCCUGUCUGGUGGUGGUGGUUAUGCUGCCUUCCAGCUAGGUCUGGUCUCCUGUCUGGUGGUGGUGGUUAUACUGCCUUCCAGCUAGGUCUGGUCUCCUGUCUGGUGGUGGUGGUUAUGCUGCCUUCCAGCUAGGUCUGGUCUCCUGUCUGGUGGUGGAGGUUAUGCUGCCUUCCAGCUAGGUCUGGUCUCCUGUCUGGUGGUGGAGGUUAUGCUGCCUUCCAGCUAGGUCUGGUCUCCUGUCUGGUGGUGGUGGGUAAGCUGCCUUCCAGCUAGGUCUGGUCUCCUGUCUGGUGGUGGGGGUUAUACUGCCUUCCAGCUAGGUCUGGUCUUCUGUCUGGUGGUGGUGGGUAAGCUGCCUUCCAGCUAGGUCUGGUCUCCUGUCUGGUGGUGGGGGUUAUACUGCCUUCCAGCUAGGUCUGGUCUCCUGUCUGGUGGUGGGGGUUAUACUGCCUUCCAGCUAGGUCUGGUCUCCUGUCUGGUGGUGGGGGUUAUACUGCCUUCCAGCUAGGUCUGGUCUCCUGUCUGGUGGUGGUGGUUAUGCUGCCUUCAAGCUAUGUCUGGACAGUAGCUUUAGUUGUACAGCUAUUUGACAUUCCAGGGUUGAGGUGGAACAUUUUACUGUUAUUCCACCACCUGGGUGAUUUUGCCCCGGGCGAAGCUAGCUGUUGAGUGAUCCACUCCUGGCAUUGACAUAGACAACCCUUCAUAAUGAUAUAUGGCCACUGUUAAUGAGGAGAGACCCUUUUUAAGAGUCUGUUUCCCUCUGUAGCCAGCCACAGACAGUGAUAAGUCCUGCUAGUUCACCAGACAAGGUCAUGGGUCUCCUCUUGGCUUCGGAGGCGCCGUGUGUGUGUGUGGCUUAAAGCAAUGGCACUCUGUUCCAAAACUUCUCUGGGGGAUGUCAAAACGACUUGAACUUGAGUCUAUUCCAGUAUCCCCCAUGGGAGACAGUUAGAUAUUGUAUCUAGAUCAAGGGAGUGUGUGGAAGGCUCCAUCUCGCUAGAGGGAUUGGUUCUAACAUAGCACACUAAUUAGGGAUAGUGCACUACAAUAACACUAGUGACACGGUUUGAUGCACCACAUGAUCACACGAUUGUGAUUUGUGAAUAAUAUGAUGAAUAUUUCACAACACAGUGCGCCACAAAGUUAAUGUGAAAAUAUCUAAUAUAGUUAAUAUAACUAAAUGACAUGGAACGGAAACAGCUUGCCUUUUAAAAUCACUGGCAGUUCUUAGUGACUGAGGGAUAAUACUUUAUUUUACAGUCCUAUUUCAGAUGGUUAUUACAAAGAACGUGUCUUUAUGUCUAUUUCCUAGUACUUACGAAGCACUGCUUCAAUUCAUCCCAACAAAUGUAGAAGGUCAUUAUUAGGUAACCAUUGUGCACAUCAUAUCAUGUGGCUAAGUAAAUACCAGGCAAGCAACAGACUGUAAACUCAAUACUUAUUUGAAAGUCUUGUGUUAUCUCUCAUAGUACCAGUUGUGUAAAGUACUUAAGUAAAAAAUACUUUAAAAGUACUACUUAAGCAUUUUGGGGGGGAAUCUGUACUUUACUAUUUAUUUUUCGGGACUAUUUUUACUUCACUACAUUCCUAAAGAAAAUGUACUUUUUACUCCAUACAUUUUCGCUGACACCCAAAAGUACUUGUUACAUUUUGAAUGCUUAUUAGUAGGACAGGAAAAUGGGUCCAAUUCACACACUUAUCCCUGGUCAUCCUGACUGCCUUUUGAUCUGGUAGACUCACUAAAGACAUGCUUGGUAAAUGAUGUUGGAGUGCCCCAGGCUAUCCUUAAAGAAAAAUAAUACAAUAAAAUGGUGCCAUCCAGUUUGCUUAAUAUAAGACAUUUGAAAUGAUUUAUACUUUAACUUCAGAUAAUCAAGUAUAUUUCACCAAUUACAUUUAAUUUUGAUACUUAAGUAUAUUGAAAACCAAAUAGUUUUAGACAUUUACUCAAGUAGUAUUUUACUGGGUGACUUUCACUUUUACUUGAAUCAUUUUCUAUUAAAAAGGUAUCUUUGCCUUUACUCAAGUAUUACAACUGGGUACUUUUUCCAGUCUUGAGUCUUGACAUGAGGAACUAGCAGUGGAAAACACCACCCUGUGCCCCUUUCCACACGACACCUUAUGUGACACGUGAAACUAACUUCAUUUACUCCUGACCCGCAGUGACUGCCACCCAAUUAAGUUGGAAAGCGAGACACGAGAAAGUUUGUUGAAAGACUGAGGCUUAUCAAAAAUAGACAAGGGCUCCCUUGAAGCCAACAUGAAUUGGGUCCUGUCUGGGUAGGAAGGGAGUUUCAGAAGUUGUUUUGGUUCUAAGGCUGAAAAUCCAGCACUUGCCACAUGCCAGGUUGAAAACACAGAAAGGUGGAUCAGAGGGACGUCAGACUUUGGUCAGCUGAGUGGUAGGCUUCAUGUAGAACCUGCUGUACUGUAUUGUCACAUGGGUCUGAACUCACAGUAUGUGGUUGUGGGUUAUGCUGUAUUAUAUUUUCUCAGGUGGUGUAGCUGUACGCUGCGUUGCUCUGUGGUGUUGCGCUGUGCACAUUAUGGAAUUACUAGUAAUCCUAUUUCUCUGGAGCGGUUGUUGUGCUAGUACUAUGUUGCUCCUCGGCUGCACCUGGGAUGACAUGUCCAGUGGCUAAGCCUGGGUGGGGUCUGUCUAUGUCGGUCUGUCUACCCAGUCUCGUCCCUCUCAGAGUAUAGGAUCAAUCAUCCAACAAUUGGCCAAACCCGUCACAGAGAGCGAGCGAGAGAGAGCGAGCGAGAGCGAGAGCGAGAGGCCCCAUCGAAAAUCAGUGAUGACUCCAGUCAAUGUACUCUGCAAAGGGCAGACAGCUGAGAGAGAAAGCCAACAACCUCUCCUCAUUCAUUAUCUGUAUUAUCUUCCAGACAGGUGAGUCACAUAGUGAGCCCACGCCUGCACAUCGGAGUGUACAGUAAUGUCCUUGAGUGAUAUUAAAACACAUGGGCCUUGUCUCAAUACGUGGAGAAUGAAAGUCCUUUCCUCAGGUCUUUUUCUUCAUUAACACUUGAUAGGUGAAUAGGAUUCCGCUAUAUUGCUUCCACCCCUCAUGUCCUGCCAGAUCAGCUAUCGUGGAAGUAAGAAAACAAGGUAGUUUAAAAGGGCAACUCCACCACUUUUCAACCUCAAUUCAAUUUUCCUUAUCUCCAGCGCAAUACCAGUAUCAACAUAUGUGAAAAAUGCCAUAGUCAAAAGUUACAAAGUGCUUUUUCAAACACAGAUCACCUUGGGCUCGAAACUCGCUGCAGGUUUUGAAAAUCAACGUUUUCAUUUACCUUUAAUACUACCCUGUAAAAAAAACAUUUUGUUUUACCACUGAGCUGUUUUCACAUAUGUAGACUGGUUCGGUGCUGGAGAUGAAUGAGGUUGAAAAGUGGCAGAAUUGCCCUUUAACUCGUGAGACACAGCAUAUAACGAACUCUCUAGCUGAGGGUGAAAUGUGCUUUUCUGUUAUUGUCUCUUAAGGCAAUUCUGGAGAGAUAAUGCAAAAACCCCUGCAGUUUCACUGCCUCACCAUCGGGUGUCAGUCAAAGGUAGAGGAGAUGGGUAGAGGAGAUACAGUAACCUGGUUUUAAGGUCUGUGACGGUAACAGAGUGGGAUUAAACCUAAACAGAGGGAGACCUCCUUCCCAGGUCGAGGUCUGGUAAAGCACUCUGCUCCAUAUGGUCAGCCACGAACACCCCAUGGAGCACUAACUAAAGGCUGCAUCAGGAAAAUCAUGUUAUCAGCUUUGUUUUCCCUCCAACUCAGUGGUUGCUAAAUGUUUCAGCAUUGUGACCCACUAAUCAAAUCAUCACAGCUGAGUCUCAAACUACAACUGUGACUUGGUCCCAAGUCCUGACCCACCAUUAGGGGAAACAAACUGCCCCAACUGCAAAAGAAUAAAUACAAAUCUGGAUAUUUUCAAUGGUUAGUUACUUGGUACCAAACAGAGUGGAUUCUGUUUGAACUUUGCGACCAGUAUAAUGCCGGACACCAGGGACAUCCAACUGGCAGAGAAAACUCAGACAACACGGCACAGAACCAAAGCGUUUUUUUUUAGGGGGGGACGGACAGUUUCUCAGAGCCUCCCCUUCUCUAUACUCCACAGACACCGAGGACACGGAGGGCUCAAACUGGUUCCUCUGUUAGCACGGACAGUAAUUAUAGCCUAGCGCUGAACGUUUAGCCUCUUAGAGCCUCUAACCACUGAGUGCACCAGGGGCGUCAGGGAAAAUAAAUCUGCCGGAUUCAUAACUAGGUCAUUGCUGUUUUGGAUGAUGAGAGCACGUCUGGCCAGUUGCUGCUGUACUGUUUUGGUGUGGUGGGACCGGGGAUGAAACCCCCUUCUAAUCCGAGGGGGCUCACACAAAGUGACAUGAACUCUUAAUGCCAAAGUGCCACACACAUCACAUGUACAAAAUAAACUAUUGGAACGUAGCCUAUUGCCCCAUUUCAGAGAAUAUGGGAGUCUUUCUGAGUAUAAUAUUUCUAGGUUUUGGGCCCUUAGCUCUCAGUACAACAGGUCAAUCAUUGCUUAAUCUGAUCUGCUGAAAAUGUAAUGAUGAAUAGUAUGUAUUGGGAUCAGUGGUUAAUAUGAAAGAUAAUAAUUUUGAUACCAAUUUCCACGAUACUAGUUCGUCAAACUAGUUACGUGGAUGGGAUAUCUUUGAACGUGACCUAAAUCAGUGUUCAGUCUGAGCGGACAAAACAUUUCCCGUCCCCGACCCAUUUCAGCAAAACUGAACACGGGAAUCGUCCAGUCUGUUUCUAUUUUUGUGGUGACCUGUUUUGUUUCACCACUCAAACAAAAAACAAAAGACUAGCCACUAUGAUCAAUGGAGGAUGAGAACGAUAGAGAGAAGAAGAAAGAGGAUGGAAGGAGGAAGGUGAAGUGGGUUGGAUUGAUGGGACAGUGACAAAACGAUCAAGUGCCAUCGGGCACUGUAGAGCUCAGUGUAGAUUUGCUUGAGAUGGGCUAUCCCCCUUGCUCCGGAGAUUAACCCUCCUCCAUUGCUCUUAUCCUCCCCUUCUCUGGGCUGGCAGCCACGGUCUGGGCCCUCACGUGCCAUCAUGGAGCACCACUGACAUAAUAAACUUCCAUCUGGGGCCCAGGGAGCCCAAUGAGGCUACAUUCCUCCCUCACCCAGCCCCUCUCCUCUCCUCUCCAUCCUGCCUG